rnacentral:rRNA from 1 species
AUUGAACGCUGGCGGCAUGCCUUACACAUGCAAGUCGAACGGCAGCGCGGACUUCGGUCUGGCGGCGAGUGGCGAACGGGUGAGUAAUACAUCGGAACGUACCCUGUUGUGGGGGAUAACUAGUCGAAAGAUUAGCUAAUACCGCAUACGACCUGAGGGUGAAAGUGGGGGACCGGAAACGGCCUCAUGCAGCAGGAGCGGCCGAUGUCUGAUUAGCUAGUUGGUGGGGUAAAGGCCCACCAAGGCGACGAUCAGUAGCUGGUCUGAGAGGACGAUCAGCCACACUGGGACUGAGACACGGCCCAGACUCCUACGGGAGGCAGCAGUGGGGAAUUUUGGACAAUGGGGGCAACCCUGAUCCAGCAAUGCCGCGUGUGUGAAGAAGGCCUUCGGGUUGUAAAGCACUUUUGUCCGGAAAGAAAUCGCGCUGGUUAAUACCUGGCGCGGAUGACGGUACCGGAAGAAUAAGCACCGGCUAACUACGUG